AUCCUUCAGUUCAUGAGCAUGAUGAUUGGGUGUUCAUGCCAUAUGCAUGAGAUGUGCCUCCCUCAAACCCUGUUUCAACAUCAGCACAUUAACUGUCUGAGA
ensembl:snoRNA